UAUUACCGCAUACUGUCCUACGGGAGAAAGCAGGGGAUCUUCGGACCUUGCGCUAAUAGAUGAGCCUAAGUCGGAUUAGCUAGUUGGUGGGGUAAAGGCCUACCAAGGCGACAAUCUGUAGCGGGUCUGAGAGGAUGAUCCGCCACACUGGGACUGAGACACGGCCCAGACUCCUACGGGAGGCAGCAGUGGGGAAUAUUGGACAAUGGGGGGAACCCUGAUCCAGCCAUGCCGCGUGUGUGAAGAAGGCCUUAUGGUUGUAAAGCACUUUAAGCGAGGAGGAGGGUACUGGUAUUAAUACUACCAGGUACUGGACGUUACUCGCAGAAUAAGCACCGGCUAACUCUGUGCCAGCAGCCGCGGUAAUACAAAGGGUGCGAGCGUUAUUCGGAUUUACUGGGCGUAAAGCGUGCGUAUGCGGCUAAUUGAGUCGGAUGUGAAAUCCCCCAGCUUAACUUGGGAAUUGCAUUCGAUACUGGUUAGCUAGAGUGUGGGAAAGGAUGGUAGAAUUUCCCGUGUAACGGUGAAAAUGCGUAAAGAUCUGGAAGAAUACCGAUGGCGAAGGCAGCCAUCUGGGCCUAACACUGAGCGCCUAAGGUAGGAAACCAGGGGGGAGGCCAAACAGGAUUAGAUACCCUGGGUAGUCCAUGCCCGUAAACCAAGAUCUAACUUACCCCUUUGGUCUUCUUUUUAGGGA
rnacentral:rRNA from 1 species